UGUGUGUGUGUGUGUGUGUGUGUGUGUGUGUGUGUGUGUGUGUGUGUGUGUGUGUGUGUGUGUGUGUGUGUGUGUGUGUGUGUGUGUCAGCGUACUUGGAGUUCAGUGCAGAUGUGAAGGUUAACAUUUUCCAGCGGGGUGGUGGUGCAGCGGGGCUGCCGCUGUGUGUGUGUGCACCGGUGGCCUCCCUGGUCUUUGAUGUGGGAGUGGGCACGUUUGAACUGCACAUAAGCACACAGCCAAGACAACGCAGGAGUGGCUUCGGGAGAAGUCUCUGAAUGUCCUUGAGUGAACCAGCCAGACCCCGGACUUGAACCCGAUCGAUCGAACAUCUCUGGAGAUACCUGAAAAUAGAUGUUCAGCGACACUCCCCAUCCAACCUGACAGAGCUUGAGAGGAUCUGCAGAGAAUGGGAGAAACUCCCCAAAUACAGAUCUAUCCACUGCCUUCGACACUGUGAACCAUCGGAUCCUCCACCGUCACAGAGCUGGGCAUCUCAGGCUUUGCACAAUGUUGGAUUGCAUCCUACCGGACAGGCCGCUAGUACCAGGUAGCGACACAAGUCUCGACAAGACGGAGCUCCUCUUCCUCCCGGGGAAGGCCUGCCUCCACUAAGACCUCUCUCUCCAUCACGGUUGACAACUCCACAGUGUCCACUUCCCAGAAUGCAAAGAGCUUUGGCGUGACCAUGGACAACAAACACUCUGUGGUUCUCUGCAAACAUCAAAGCAUUGACUCGCUCCUGCAGGGUCAUGCACCACAACAUCCAUAGAGCACAACCCUUCCUCACACAGGAAGCUGCACAGGUCCUAAUCCAGGCACGUCAUCACCAGCCUGGACUAGAAGUUCUCCCAUGUCACAAGCUACUCUACACACUCCACUGGCAUCCAGUUGAAACUUUGAAAGUUCUUGAAAUUUUCCGAAUUGACUGACCAUGUCUAAAAGUAAUGAUGGACUGUCAUUUCUUUCUGCUUAUUUGAGCUGUUCUUGCCAUAAUAUGGACUUGAUCUUUUACCAAAUAUGGCUAUCUUCUGUAUACCACCCCUACCUUGUCACAACACAACUGAUUGGCUCAAAUGCAUUAAGAAGGAAAGAAAUUCCACAAAUGAACUUUUAACAAGGUACACCUAUUAAUUGAAAUCCAUUCCAGGUGACUACCUCAUGAAGCUGGUUGAGAGAAUGCCAAGAGUGUGCAAAGCUGUCAUCAAGGCAAAGGGUGACUACUUUGAAGAAUCUCAAAUCUAAAAUAUACUUUUUUGGUUACUACAUGAUUCCAUGUGUUAUUUCAUAGUUUUUAUGUAUUAACUAUUAUUCUACAAACUUUUGACUGGUACUGUACUUCAGUAUAAAAAGUAAACGUAAUUGUAAAAAUAUACUUAAUUACAAAAAGUAAACGUAUAAAUCAUUUCACAUUCCAUAUAUUAAGCAAACCAGAUGGCACUGUUUUCUUGUUAUUUAAAUGUAUGGAUAGCCAGGGGCACACCCCAACACUCAGACAUAAUUUACAAACAAAGCAUUUGUGUUUAGUGAGUCCGUCAGAUCAGAGGCAGUAAGGAUGUUAUCUUGAUUAGCGCAUGACCAUUUUCCUGCCAUGCUAAGCAUUCGAAAUGUACCAAGUACUUUUGGGUGUCAGGGAAACAUAUGAAGUAAAAAGUACAUUCUUGUCUUUAGGAAUGUACUGGAGUAAAAGUAAAAGUUGUCAAAAAUAUAAAUAGUAAAGUAAAAGUACAGAUACCCCCAAAAAACUACUUAAGUAGUGCUUGAAAGUAUUUUUUACUGAAGUACUUUACACUACUGCCGUUCUGCCACCUCUGGUUUCUCCCCCACGGGAGGUCAGCUCAGCUCAGCUCAGUCAAAUCUAUUUUUCUAUCCUUGCACCUCAAAUGGUGGAACCAGCUUCCCCCGAAGCGAGGACAGCAGAGUCCCUGCCCCCUUCCGAAAACAUCUAAAAACCCUACCUCUUCAAAGAGAAUCUUAAAUCAUCUUAAAUAAUCCCACAACCCAUGAAAAAUUAUUAAAAUAACACCCUUGCUUUUCCUGACCUAACACUUGCACUUGAUAAUCUGAGAAGAUCCAUGUAUGUCCCUCUCACUGUAAUAAGAAUGGUUUAUAAUAAAGGAUAGUCAACCGGCAAGACAAAAUGAGGAAGGCUAACAUACAACAGCACGAUGAGAUGAGAACACUGCAAAUACACUGACCACAACCACAGGCCUGUUAACACAGAAGCCUAGGUGUCAAGUGAUGUACACGCUUUCCUUGACAGGAAUGAUAAAGUGUGACAACAGUUAAGAAAUAAGAUGGUAAAAUAGGAAGUACAAAGUGCCACAUCUCAGCUGCUCUGCACACACUGUUACUGUAAACAUUCUUGAGUGCCAUGCUUCCAAGCGUAAUUUACAAAGCAUAGCUGAAUGUGAUAUGCAAAGCAUAAACUGUGCCUCACAAACCAAGGACUCAAUGAAAAAAGCUAAGUCCUGGCACUCUUACUGGCAAGUGUUUAUUCACAAAAUCAUCAGCAUCUGUUUAUUUUUAAAACGGGGGUGGUAGGAGAUUUAUUUCACGUUAGUAUUGUUUUAAAUGGACAUUGUUGCGAGUGAACACAAAGGUUUGAAUGGGUCAGAACACUACUCCCAGCCAUUCUCCAUUGUUCCCAGCCAGGACCUUGCCUUUGGCUGCUUCCCUAGGGGGGCUCGGCCCCAGCACCACAGCAGUGCAUUGAAAAGUUAUUCAUAGAGCCAGCACUCCGCGCGUGAGGCAAGCUCUAACUGCACCGUUCCCCCAAUUUAUGAUCUCUUAGCCCUUUAAAGGUUGAUUUAAUAUUUGCCUGAGAGGUUUUGGACGGCAUCCCAUUAGUUAGAAGGGGAAAAAAGAAAAAGGAGGUUGUUUUGCUAACCUUUAAUGCACUUGUACAUGAACUGUGUCCAACAAUAAGUAAAAUAUUUAUUGGGCAGGGUGAGUCAUUGGCGUGCUUACUGAGAGGGGAAGAGAGGGGAGGUCAGCGGCUCAGCGCCCAGCACUCUGUGUCUGUCAGCGGUCAGAAAGCCCCCACACAGGAGUGACCGGCCCCGUCAUUAGCCCCGUUUCCUAAUGGAUCCCAUCUGAGAACUAAUUUGUUGGAAUGACGAAUGGCGUAGACAAUAUAUUUUAGGAAGGGGGCUAAAUGACUUUUCCAACUGCAGCACGCAUCUAGAUUAGGGUCAGAUUAGAGACACUCUACAAACAGAAUGAGGUAGUGUGUUGGCCAGACAGAGGAGUCUGGAUGAAGUAGCCUACUUGGGGUUUUACCAUUAGAACGGGUCAGAAUAUCUCAUUCAUGCAUUAUUUCUCUCUGACUGUUUGGUGUCCUUCUGUUUGUGUAUUUUGCAUUAUUAAAAGAUAAAAUCUCAGACAAAGCUCUCAGAUAGCCAUGCCAGUAACUGACUC